CCGUGCCAGCAGCCGCGGUAAUACGGAGGGUGCGAGCGUUAAUCGGAAUUACUGGGCGUAAAGACGCAUGCAGGUGGUUUGUUAAGUCAGAUGUGAAAGACCCGGGGCGUCAACCUCGGAAUAGCAUUUGUAAACUAGGCAGACUAGAGUACUGUAGAGGGGGGUAGGAAGUUUCAGGUGUAGCGGUGAAAUAGCGUAGAGAUCUGAAGGAAUACCGGUGGCGAAGGCGGCCCCCUCGGACAGAUACUGACACUCAGAUGCGAAAGCCGUGGGGACGCAAACAGGAUUAGAUACCCCUGGUAG
rnacentral:rRNA from 1 species